CAGUCUGAGAUAGUUCUCUUAGUUGGGGAGAUAUUUGGGUGGUAACGAAGCAGUGGACCAGGCAAUCAAUCGAGCACACCAUUGAGACAUGGAUCAACCUCCACUGAUUGACAGAGUUGUGCUGACUAAGAUUUACACCAUUGAUGAUAAAAUCUUGACUUCCACCAGCAUCUCUGAUGUACGGUGACUGGUGCUGCCAUAACGGAUCCUUAUCACUAUCUGAUGCAACAGCACUUCACCUCAGAGAUCUUCAAGAUUGAGAUCCAAAAUCUCCCAAGACAUUUUGGAUUUGCGGUUGGGCGUCUGAGUGCAGCUAUCUGUCCGCCGCGCACAUUCAUCGCUGGGUUCAGACCUUCCGGGAAUAUGAUCUGCAGUUCUGUGCUCUUCAUCUGCCCCAGGAGUCCUAGAAACAGUUGGCGGAUCUUGUACAGUUCAACCACAAAACAGUAUGUACUGCCUUGGACAGAUUCCUUUUUAGACUUUUCCACAAAGUUGCAGAAAAGCCUUAGUUUUGUGAAGAUUUUUUGUUUACUUCAUUUUGUUGUAUCCCAAAUCUCCUAGACUUUGCUCAUGCUUUUUUUUUGUGCCCGGUACAUUGGACAUAAAACAUAGUCAUAUCCCUACGAAACUUAAGAUAGACAAAGACCACAUACUAAUGUUGUGCAUAGUGAUGUGGCGUUGUCAUGACGACAUCAUGUGUACUGUGAUGUCAUCUUAAAGGAGCAUAUUUUUAAAACCCAUAUCCCAAAAAAUAAAAGUUUGUAUCGUAUGUUGACAGGGAUGUGUUAGAGAUGAAAAUUGAGGCGAUGUCAUGAUGAUGUCAUCAUGUAAUUGUAUAAAAUCCAUCAGGGGUGCUCCUUUUUUUUUUUCUUCUUCUUCUUCUCUCUCCUAACUGUAUGUGCAUGUUUUUGUUUUCUUUACUGUUCUUAUUGUCUGUACUUGAAUUUUUACCUGUGAAAUUAAUAAAUGAAAUGAAAUGAAAUGUAUAUGGAUUUUUGAAGUUUUGACAAUUAUGGCCAUAUCUCAUGGAAGGCAGGAUGCUAAAGUCAAAACUUUUUGUAAUGGGUUUGUCAGGUCAUAGAUGCUUUAAAAAAAAUUGACAUGUGUGACAUAAGUUGCAUCUUAGCUAGCCAGGAUAGCCUUACGAAGUAAAUCAACUCCAUAUCCCACAUGCUGUCAGCGUGCAGCCAUGCACCAACACUUACAUGGAUUGCCAACCUUCAGCAUUUCUAGGCCUCUGACAUGUUGAAAUAAAGUUUUCAUUAGUGUUAAGUUUUCUUUCAUUAUUUUCUUUGUGUUACCAUUAAAUGUUUUUAUUUUGGAAAUUGUUUUUGCAUUGUGUUGAUAUUUGUUUUUGUUUUGAGUUACAAUUUGAGUUUGAUUAAACAAUAGUUGCUCUUUACUUGUGGGACGUGUGAUUAGGAUUAGCAAAAAGUAAUCCAUGUCCAACAUGUUCACGGAAUGUCGAUCAAUAUUCCU